CCCAGCACCGCCGCUGCAGAGACCCCGGUUAAGGCCGCCCUGCCACCGAAGUCUGUGAAGACCGAGCAGAGCGAACCGAAAAAGAAGAACAAGAAGAAAGCAGCCGAGAAGCAGAAGGCCCAGGCGAAUGGACAGACAGUGGCUGAACCUCAGGAGGACAUCAAAGUCAUCGAGGAGAAAAAGAAGAAACCUCCUCCUGCAGCUGCGCCUGCGCCUGCACAGCCACCUGCUGAUACAAAGACCAAGAAAAACAAGAAGAAACCAAAACCAGAGGUGAAGCCAAAACAAGAUGUUUCCUCCACUGGUGGCAAGGAACCUGAU